ensembl:misc_RNA Y_RNA Y RNA
CUCUGGUCCAGAGUUAGUGAGUUCUCUCACUUGAUUGUUCACAGGCAGUUACAGAUUGAAUUCCCAUCCUACUCUUUCCCUCUUCUUACUACUGCACUUGACUAGUUUA